AAGCUGAUGCAGCCAUGCCGCGUGUGUGAGAAGGCUUCGGAUUGUAAAGCACUUUCAGCUGGGAGGAAGGGUCGGUGUUAAUACUUUGGUGCUUUGACGUUACUCACAGAAUAAGCACCGGCUAACUCUGUGCCAGCAGCCGCGGUAAAU
rnacentral:rRNA from 1 species